ACUUCCUGAUGUAACUGAAUAUUUUCACUGAGAAGAAGUCACAUGUUCACACUGCUCGAGUGAGCUCCAGAUGAGACAUCAACAGGAGGCACAAACUGAUGAAUAUUCAUCAGGAUGUGGGUUUUCAUUGUGUUUUUCAUCAGUGUUAAAGUUUCAGAUUUCGUGAAUGGUAAUCAGGAAGAGGUAAAGACCUUGAAGGAGGGAGGCGUUCUGACUCUACAUACAGGAGCUCAACUGAACAGAGACUCUGAGACAACAUGGCUUUUUAAAAGUGACAGCCAAACCACCCGUAUAGCACAGAUAAAUAAUGGAAAGGUUUUUACCAGUUUUGAAGAGAGACUUACUGGCAGAUUGCAUCUUGAUCAAGAGAGUGGAUCAUUGACCAUUUGGAAUAUCAGUACCAGUGAUUCUGGACUUUAUGAAGUAUCAUUCACCAUCAUGUUAUCCAUCUCUGAGAAGAAGUUCAAAGUUAAUGUAUAUGCACCUGUCUCAGUACCUGCUAUUGAGUGCAACUCAUUGGUUACUGCGCACCAAUCUUCAGGUACUUUGAAGCAGCCACAAGCAGUAGAAGAUUUCUGCUCUGUGCUCUGCUCUGUGAGAAAUGAUCGAGACGUGUUCAUCUCGUGGUAUAAAGGGAGUGAAAUGGUGAAUCAGACCAGCAAUCCUGAUCUCAGCAUCAAACUCAGUUUACCAUUAGAGCUUCAUUAUAAUGAUUCAGAGAUCUACAGCUGCACGGCUGCAAAUCCAGUGAGCAACAAGAGCGUCAGUCUUCAUAUGAAAGAGAUCUGCCAACGAUGUAAAGAUUGUCUGGAUCACUGUGGCGUCACUGAGUCUCUGAUUCGACUGGUUCUGUCUGGUCUGGUGGGAAUCGCCACUGUUUUCUUUGUGGUUGAACAUGUGAGGAUCUCCUCAUCUCAGAGAAGAGCUGCUGCUUCUGUGUGAUGAUGAUACUUUCAUGAGAGUUUGCAGGGUGUAACUUUUACAUUGAAGGAGGUUUGCAGGGUAAAGAGUUGAGGUGUAAAGCACCUCAUUUAUUACUUUGGAUAAAGGUAGCCUGUCUGCUAAAAUGAUAUGUAGUAGGCUAAGUGUGACCAGUAUGCUUUGCAGGUUACAUAAAAUGCACACAAACUUUUAUGUAUACUAACCUAAAUAUAUUUAUGUGUGAGUAUGAAUUUUUAAUUUGUAUGUUUGGCGGUUUGACUGUUAUAAUCAUUAAUCAUGUAUUAAAGUUUUGACUAAAACUUUAAUAGCCUAAUUUUGUUUAGUGUUUCAGAGUAAAAGCGCUAUUAAAAUAGCAUUAGCAGACAGCACGAAGAUCCCAGCUUUUUUUUAAUCAAGUAUGGUUUGAAGUUAAAAGUUUUUACCCUUGUCAAUGUUUUAUUAAUUAAAUGUCUAUUAAAGUUUCCUCAAUUUCAUUAUUCAGAUAAAAGAUUGUCAAGAACGCUGCUUGAAUCGAGGCGCACGUUCAAGCUCAAACCGGUGCGCAACGUUUUGCUACAGUUUCCGGGUUGAACGACGUGUUUCCUGGAAAUGGUGUGCAACGGGUUUGAGAUACGUUUUCUCUUGUUUGGUGGGUGUGUCAUAAAUAUCAGCCCAAUCAGCGGCAAGAUGUAUAUAAACCACGCGGUAUUAAAGAGACAGCUCGCACAAUGGGUCCAAGUAAUGUCUUUUACAACUGUGUUUUUAUCCUAUUUUAGACUCUUAUCCUGGAUGGCAAGGGCAGCGACUGUAACAUAUUUUUCAGCAUUAAAC